UCGCGAAAACUUCACAAUGGGGGAAACCCCGAUGAGGGAAUUCCAAGUGUCAGCACAUUGUGUUGACUGUUCCCCUGUCUAAAAAACAGGAGAAGUAAGGGCCGGGUAAGACGGGUGCCAGCCGCCGCGGUAAUACCCGCGGCCCGAGUGGUGGUCGAUAUUAUUGAGCCUAAAACGUUCGUAGCCGGUCUUGUAAAUCCUUGGGUAAAUCGGCCAGCUUAACUGUCCGAAGUCCGGGGAGACUGCAAGACUUGGGAUCGGGA
rnacentral:rRNA from 1 species